rnacentral:antisense_RNA from 1 species
CCCCAUGGCGGGCCAAGCGAGGCAGCCGCAAGGCUGACCGGUUCCCCACGUCAGACCGGCUUUCCACCCUCGUUGACUGGCCCGCCGCCCUC